AUUGAACGCUGGCGGCAGGCUUAACACAUGCAAGUCGAACGAGUGGCGGACGGGCGAGUAAUGCUUGGGAAUCUGGCUUAUGGAGGGGGAUAACGACGGGAAACUGUCGCUAAUACCGCGUCCCAUACGAUGAGCCCAAGGGGGAUUAGGUAGUUGGUGGGGUAAUGGUCUACAAAGCCGACGGUCGCUAGCUGGUCUGAGAGGAUGACCAGCCACACCGGGACUGAGACACGGCCCGGACUCCUACGGGAGGCAGCAGUGGGGAAUAUUGCGCAAUGGGGGCAACCUGACGCAGCCAUGCCGCGUGAAUGAAGAAGGCCUGCGGGUUGUAAAGUGCUUUCGGUGACGAGGCGUUAAUCACAGAAGAAGCACCGGCUAACUCCGUGCCAGCAGCCGCGGUAAUAC
rnacentral:rRNA from 1 species